rnacentral:rRNA from 1 species
UACGUAGGGGGCGAGCGUUGUCCGGAGUUACUGGGCGUAAAGCGCACGCAGGCGGUUUCGUACGUCUGGAGUGACAGUUCCCGGCUCAACUGGGAAAGGUCUUCGGAAACGGCGAGACUUGAGGGCUUCAGAGGGACACGGAAUUCCGGGUGGAGUGGUGAAGUGCGUAGAGAUCCGGAGGAACACCUGCGGCGAAGGCGGGUUGCUGGGCUGAUACUGACGCUGAGGCGCGAAAGCCAGGGGAGCGAACGGG